GACCAAGGAGUCUAGCAUGUGCGCGAGUCAUUGGGACUCUAAUAAACCUAAAGGCGCAAUGAAAGUAAAAGUCCGCCUCGCGCGGACCUAGGGAGGAUGGGACCGUUCUCGUGACGGACCCCGCACUCCCGGGGCGUCUCGUUCUCAUCGCGAGAAGAGGCGCACCCAGAGCGUACACGCUGGGACCCGAAAGAUGGUGAACUAUGCCUGGUCAGGACGAAGUCAGGGGAAACCCUGAUGGAGGUCCGUAGCGAUUCUGACGUGCAAAUCGAUCGUCGGAACUGGGUAUAGGGGCGAAAGACUAAUCGAAC
rnacentral:rRNA from 1 species